UACGUAGGGUGCGAGCGUUGUCCGGAAUUAUUGGGCGUAAAGAGCUCGUAGGCGGUUUGUCGCGUCGGCUGUGAAAACCUGGGGCUUAACUCCGGGCCUGCAGCCGAUACGGGCAGACUAGAGUUCGGCAGGGGAGACUGGAAUUCCUGGUGUAGCGGUGAAAUGCGCAGAUAUCAGGAGGAACACCGGUGGCGAAGGCGGGUCUCUGGGCCGAUACUGACGCUGAGGAGCGAAAGCGUGGGGAGCGAACAGG
rnacentral:rRNA from 1 species